rnacentral:rRNA from 1 species
UACAGAGGCCCCAAGCGUUAGUCGGAAUCACUGGGCUUAAAGGGUGCGUAGGCGGAUCGGUAAGUGUCUUGUGAAAGCCCACGGCUCAACCGUGGAAUUGCAGGGCAUACUGCCGAUCUUGAAGAAGGUAGAGGCCGGUGGAACGAUAGGUGGAGCGGUGGAAUGCGUAGAGAUCUAUCGGAACGCCAAUGGUGAAGACAGCCGGCUGGGCCUUUCUUGACGCUGAGGCACGAAAGCGUGGGGAGCAAACAGG